CCUAAAUGUGAGACAAUUGUGAAAAGUGGAGGACAGAGCCACCUGGUUAAAUACAGCCCCAGCUUUCUGGUGAGAGGACUGAAACCAAGAUGUGUCAAGUAACUAGAAUGUGCCUGGACAGAUACUGUAGAAAGCAAAACCAUAAAGUUGUUCAUGAGCUUGUGGACGCACCUGCCAGCUGUGAAUAAGUGGCUCUAAUCCCGAACAACUUACCUAAAAAGAGCCUGAGAGCUGAACUGUGCAAUGGCCCACUUUCCAGUCCUCACUGACCACUGGGUUGCACACACUUUGGAGAUCUCUGAACAGCAGUGUCAAGGCUUUCAAAUAGAGUUAUCUUUGAAACGACAACACAUGAAAGUCUGGUUGGUACUUGGAGCUUAAAUACAAGGCAAUUGUGUGCCUGCAAAAACAAAAAUAGCAAUAUUAUCCUUAAGAUUUCAACAAGACACAGUGUCUCAUCACAUAAUCCAAAGAAGUCCAGGUUACAAGCCCCACAAUAUUCAGCAUUAUGAAAAAACAGGGAGAUCUUAAUUCACAUGGCAAAGAGAAUCCUCGAAUAACAAUAUUGAGAGGACACAGAUGUCAAAAUCAUCUGACACAUACAUUAAAGCAGAUAUUAUAACAAUGCUCCUAGAAUCGGGGAUAACAUUCGUGAAGUGAAUGGAAAGUUGGAAAGUCUCACCAAAUAUUUCGAAUACAUAAACACCAAUUUAAACUUAAGAAUUAAAAAAAUGUAUUAACCAAAACUCUUAGGGGAAAUAAAAAGCUUAAUUGGAGGAUCUCCAUAAUCGAAUGCAGAAGACUAAGGAAAAAGUCAAUGAACUUGAAAACAGAACACGAAUACCUACAUAAUCUGAACUAUAGAGAGAAAGGAGGAUUUUAUUGUCUCUGAACAGAGGCUCAGGCACAAAUAAAAAAUAACAAAUCCAACAUUCACAUUAUUGUAAUCUGGAAAGAAGAGGACAAAGUGGUCUUUGUGGGAUAAAACUUUGAACAAUUAAUAGCUGAAAAUGGUUCAAAUUUGUCAAAAGAUAUAAACCAGAUUUUUAAAGUUCAGUAAAUGUCAAUCAGGAUAAACCCAAAGAAACCCAUAGCAAGGCAUAUCAUAAUCAAACUGCUGAAAACUAAGAAAAUACAAAACAAUUUUGAAAGCAGCCAAAGGGAAAUGAAAGAGAAACUACCAAAUGAAUGAUUGUAGAUUUCGCAUCAGGAACCAUAGGGGCCAGAAAAAAUGUCAUAACAUUCGGAAGACUGCUGGAAAAGAAUUAGCAAAGAUUUGAGAUAAGAAAAAUGAUACCAGAAGGAAACUUAGAACAUCAUCAGUGAAGGAACAAAAGCAGAAAUAGAACAUGUCUGGGUAGACAUAACAGACUAUUAUUCUUCCCUUGAGUUCCUUAAGGAGACUACGGAAAAGAAGAGUGACUAAGAUCUCUGAAGAAGGGAAAAGCUAGAUGACUGGGCCACAAGAGAAAAAAAGCAGCAAGACAGAGAUUUGUUGGUGCCAACUAAAUGAGCCCAACAGCCAGUGACAACAGAACUGCACUAAAAAAAGUCCCUCAUCAGCUCUUGAGAGCAGGUUCCUUAAAGGUGAACAAUAUUCCACAUACAAGGACUUUUUCAGCACCAUGCAUUAGAAAUGGAAGUGAAUGUUUAUUAUUUUUUGUAUAAGUUGGUUGAUACGGCUUUUCAGCUUCCCUCAGUAUCAUUAUCCAAAUUUUGUAGAUGACACUAAAGCUCAGAGGAGUUAAACCAUUUUCCUCAAAUCACAUAGCUUUAAAUAGGAAAACCAGAUAUGAAAAGCAGAUUUUUUUCUAAAUUAAAAAAAAAAAAAAAACUUGAGCUCUUGCUUUACCCUAGCACAUAGUCUCACCAUCUGUUUUCUCCAUGCCAGGUCAUUCAUGUAACAUUCAUUCACAUAACAAAUACAAAUAAAUGAGUGGAUUCAUUCAUCAGCUAUUAAUUCAGAAUCUCUUUUGUGUCUACCACACUAGGCUCAAGACUUCCCAGUGUCUUUGUCUCCUCUCCCUCAAAUCUCUCCACCCAAUGUCUUGACAAAUACUGUAGAUCCUUCCUGCACAGCAUCACCAGAAUGUUUUUCUUUCUUUUCAUUCACCUCUGUCAUCAUCCAUGCUAUGGUGUUUAUGGAGGAUGUAUUCUGCAGCAGGAAGUGUGAUGGGCACUGACGCUGCAGAAAGACUCCUGUUGUCCACCUCGGGAGCUGACACGAUAAAUGCGGGUAAAUCUCAAUCCUUUAAUAUCUUUAUGACUUCUUUCUCUUUCUCUUCAAUUUCUAUUUUCUCAUGUUCAAGCUCUGACAUUCAAAACUAAACACCUUUCUCUAACAUGUUGCUUUAAUUAUUUAAGCAUUCUGCCUGGGAUUUUUUCAAUUACUCUUGGGAGUUUUCAUAAAACUCUACCAACAUAUCUCCAAGUGGCCAGGCUUUUCAAUCACUGCUUCCCUCCGUGUGUAUUUCACACACACACACACACACACACACACACACACAGCACUUAAAUUGAACAGGUUUAUUUCUUCACACAGGAAUUCCUACGAACAGCCCGGUUUUCUCCACCAUAUGUCCACUCCUUCUCUGCAUAGCUGAAUUUUGAUUCUUACACUCUAAUAUUUUACAUAUUCUUACACUCUGAUAUGAUCUUGUCUCUUAUUCUUUAUGGCUCUGCUCUGUAAUUUUGUUGUUGUUGUUCUGAGAUAUAGUUGGACAUGUAACUUGUACAUGACACACCUUAGCAAGGAGGCAACCUAUAUCUCAGAUGCAAGUGAAAGAAGCACUCCCCAGGGGUUUCCUAAGGUAGUGGUCAGCACGCUGGCUUCAUUCCUGAAAGGGCCUAGUUAUGAAAACAACAGGAGCUUUUUGCCUUCCAGAAAUCUGUACCAUCUCAAAAUCCCCAGAGAGUCUCAGCUACAAGGAACAAGUGAUAAUACUAUCUCACUUUUAUAAACACACACACACAACACACACACACAAAAUCAUUUAAUCAUUUUUAAUUAUUUAAUCAUUUUUUAAAAAUCAGUGACACUUUAGAUGGGCAGGUCUAGGCAGGGCCUCCUUUCCUGGAAUGUGCCUUUUUCUGUCCCGGAAUACCCUAAACUUGACAUUUUGGCAGUGUGAGUUUUCCCUUUUUGACUUUCUCCUUGUUCCCUUUCCUCUUCCUUCUUUGCAGAGAAUGAGUAGCCACUGCACCUUGCCCUGGGCCAUCAGUGAGAAGAUCUGCUCUUAGUAGAGCCCUGCUUUCCCGCUGAAGGCCCUGAAAUCCCCUGUGUUCCAGGCCACCCACUAAGGAUCAAUAAAGCUCCCCUGAUGUGGGGGAAUUAGCUCAAGUGGUAGAGCGCUUGCUUAGCAUGCAAGAGGUAGUGGGAUCGAUGCCCACAUUCUCCAAACUUUAUUAUUUAGACCCUGGGUCUCCAAACACUCAGGUCUCCAAACCCAAGUCAGAGAACAGGAUGCUGCUUUGGUUCAAGAUGUAGGAGCAGCAACAAUACAGGGCUGGUGACGGCUCCCUCCUGGCAUUCAGUAUAGUGUAGAUCUACCGUGUAAUUAAUUUUCUGCUUCUUUGAGGAGCUGUGAAACCAAGGGACAUAAACAAUUGCUCUUUUCUCCCUGUUUCUGCCUGUAGCUUGAAUGUGAGGCAACUGUGAAAAGUGCAGGGCAGAGCCACCUGGGUAAAUACAGCCCUGGCUUUCUGGUGAGAGGACUGAAACCAGGAUGUGUCAAGUAACUAGAAUGUGCCUGGACAGAUACUGUAGAAAGCAAACCCAUAAAGUUGUUCAUGAGCUUGUGGACGCACCUGCCAGCUGUGAAUAAGUGGGUCUAAUCCCAAACAACUUACCUAAAAAGAGCCUGAGGACUGAACUAAACAAUGGUCCGCUUUCCAGUCCUCACUGACCACUGGUUGCACACACUCCAGAGAUCUCUCAUCCGCAGUGUCAAGGCUUUCAAAUAGAGUUAUCUGUGAAACAACAACACAUGGAAGUCUGGUUGGUACUUGGAGCUUAAAUACAAGGCAAUUGUGUGCCUGCAAAAACAAAAAGAGCAAUAUUAUCCUUAAGAUUUCAACAAGACACAGUGUCUCAUCACAUAAUCCAAAGAAGUCCAGGUUACAAGCCCCAAAAUAUUCAGCAUUAUGAAAAACCAGGGAGAUCUUAAUUCACAUGGCAAAGAGAAUCCUUGCAUAACAAUAUUGAGAGGACACAUAUGUCAAAAUCAUCUGACACAUACAUUAAAGCAGUUAUUAUAACAAUGCUCCUAGAAUUACGGGAUAGCAUUCAUGAAGUGAAUGGAAAGUUGGAAAGUCUCACCAAAUAUUUGGAAUAUGUAAACACCAAUUUAAACUUAAGAAUUAAAAAAAGUAUUAACCAAAACUAUUAGGGGAAAUAAAAAGCUUAAUUGGAUGAUCUCAAUAGCAGUAUGCAGAAGACUAAGGAAAAAGUCAAUGAACUUGAAAACGGAACAAGAAUACCUACAGAAUCUGACCUAUAGAAAGAAAGGAGGAUUUUAUUGUCCCUGAACAGAGGCUCAGGGACAAAUAAAAAAUAACAAAUCUAACAUUCACAUUAUUGUAAUCUGGAAACAUUCACAUUAUUGUAAGAGGACAAAGAGGUCUUUGUGGGAUAAAACUGUGAAGAAUUAAUGGCUGAAAAUGUAUCAAAUUUCUCAAAAGAUAUAAACCAGAUUUUUAAAGUUCAGUAAAUGUCAAGCAGGAUAAACCAAAAGAAACCCAUUGCAAGACAUAUCAUAAUCAAACUGCGGAAAAUUAAGAAAACACAAAACAAUUUUGAAAGCAGCCAAAGGGAAAUGAAAGAUAAAAUACCAAAUGAAUGAUUGUAGAUUUCUCAUCGGGAACCCAGGAGCCAGAAAAAAAUGUCAUAACAUUCAGUAAAUACCAAAGGAAAAAUACAUUAUCAACCCAGAAUGGUAUGUGGAGCAAAAGUAUCUUCCAGACAUAAAGGCAAAUAAAUGCAUUCUCAUUGGAAGGUAAAUAAAUACAUUCUCAGUCCUAGCAAAACUGCUGGAAAAGAAUUAGCAAAGGUUUGAGAUAAGAAAAGUGAUACCAGAAGGAAACUUAGAACAUCAUCAAUGAAGGAACAAAAGCAGAAAUAGAAAAUGUCUGGGUAGACAUAACAGACUAUUAUUCUUCUCUUGAGUUCCUUAAGGUAUGUUUGAUGGUUGAAAGCAAAAAUUGUAACUUUAUCUGAUGCAGUUGUCAUUGUAUCUAGAUGUACUACAUACAUAAGAUAAAAGGGUAAAUGUAAUGGGACUAACUCUUGAUGAAGUUUCUAUAUUCAACUUGAAUGGUAAAAUAUUGAUUCUUAGUAUACUGUGAAAAGUUAUAUAUGUAUAUGGUAAUCCCUAGACCACUUAACAACCAGAUUGAAAUAAACCAAAACAAGAUAGACAGAGGAACAUAGAAGAAUUAAAACAAAGGGAAAAAAGGUUAAUAAAUUAUUAAAUAGUAGAUCUAUCUAAAAACUUAUCUAUAAUAACAUUAUAUGUAAAUUAUCUAAAUGCAUUAAGUAAAAACUAGAGAUCAUCAGAAUGUGUUAAAAAUAAAUAUGCUGACUAAAGAAAGCCACCUGCAAUACACUUAUAAAUAAGAAUAAAAGUUAUAGAGCAGAUUGAAAGAAAAGAGUGGGAAAAGAUACCUCAUGCAAGCAUUAAUCAAAGACAGCUGUGGUGUAUAUAUAUAAAAUCAGACAAAGUAGAUUUGAAAGCAGAGAAACUUUUCAGGAAUAAUGAGGCCUCCUAAAUAAUUAUGAUUGUCAAUUUUUCAGGAGAAUAUUGUCCCAAAUGUAUAUGAGGACACAGAGCUUCAAAACUCAUAAACAAAAUUGGAUACGCCAAGUAAAAAUAGAAAAAUCCAGUUAUAGUUGCAGUCAUUAACACUCCUCUCUGAGUAAUUGGAAGAUUUAGUGGAACACAAAUCAACAGACAUACUGGAGAAUUGAACCAUGCCAUCCAGUAAUGGACCUAUCAAUUUCAUAAUGCAAAAUAAAAAUUCAGGUAGAAAGCAAAGACAAAAAUUAAAAGAAAAGCAAGAUCAUGUUAUAAUGAGAAAAUUAAGAGUAGUCCAGUGUAUAGAAGGGUGCUAUUAUUGAAAGAGUUUGAAAUAGUGACUUAGUUAUUUUGAAACAUUUUUGAAGACGUUAUUUAGCUGGAAAUGACAGAAAGACUGAAAAUGGUGAAUGUGGAGGUGGAUCUUCCCUUGUCCAUAUUUAUCUUGUCUUCGUUUGAGGUCUGGGGUGUCUAUACUUCCUCUGAAUUACCUGAUCUUACUACAGUGUCUGGCACAGAGCAUCUCCCCAGUGAAUAUGUACUAAAUGAGUAGAAAGUAAUUGAUAGAUUCAAAAGAGUUGUGCAAGAAUAAUGUUCAUUAUUUGACUAAUCACUGAAUGUGGUGUUUCAAGGAAGACAAUGAAUCAAAGUUGACUUGAAAGGUAAGCCCAGGGCCAGACGUGGUGGCUCAUUUCUGUAAUCCCAGCACUUUGGGAGGCCGAGAUCAGUGGAUCCCUUGACACCAGGAG
rnacentral:tRNA from 1 species